UAUACACACAAGCUGUUAUUAAAGGAAUAUGUUUCUACAAUAACAACUGAAUGCAGAUGUUUGAACCCACCAUGUGUUAUUUUUCAAGUUUACAGUUAACCACUUAUUGCGUAUUUUACAUUUCUUGUAAAUUUAGAGAAACCACCAAAGUACGAUUUAAUUACUAUUUCUUCAUUUAACAGUUCCUAAAUUAGGGAGUGUUACAAAAUAUAGCAAUUAAUCAUAGGUUGUGUUAUAGACCAAGGGAUAUAUUAUAUAUAGC